rnacentral:lncRNA from 1 species
GAGCCUUUCACACUAGUCAAAAAAGGGUGUGAAAGCGUCUAAAAGGGUGAAGAAUGAAUGCAAAUUAAAUAACUCGGAUAUGGGGCUUAUAAUUUUGAUUUUUUUGGUGGUUUGUGUCAUUUUAUCUCUUCAUGUUUUAUUUGAUGACUUGAAGCGAAGUGCAAGUAAAGAUCUACAAGCUAAUAGCAAAAGCAAAAGCAACAAAACAAAAAAAAACUUGCUACACAUGUAUACAAUAAAAAAACCUAGGAACUAGCAUACUUGCAAUGACAAUAUGUAGGCAAGAUUAAGCAAGGGAGAAGUAAUAUCUAAAAAGGGUGAAAUCAAAUAAGAAGACAAUCGGAUCUAAGUGAGAUGAAAUCAAAAGAAAUUAGAUCUAAGCAAAAGUAGGCAAAAGAAAUAAGACCCUAGUAAAACAAAGCAAAGCAAAAG